rnacentral:lncRNA from 1 species
UACACUGAUCCCUUCCAGAACAAAUUAAUUAAUUAAAUGGUGCCUCUUCCCAGCGUUAAUCGUUUAAAAGGACUCAAGUACCCACACAGUUUAAGCAAACUAAAAGAACACUGACACUUUCUCAGAGAACAGGGAUGGGAACUUUCUAUCUGCCCAUUAGUAUCUACCCCAAGCUACGAAGACUUCCAUUCCUCUUAUUAAGCAUUCAGCAACUACAUUUAGUGCCUACUAUGCCAGUGAUGCAAGAAUGGAUAAGACAGUCCCUACACUCAAGGAUAACGCCUCUAGUAGAUGAGCAACUUUGGGAAGGUCAUCUUGUGAAGGAGGAGGAGAACAUCCAUUUAACUGUGAGAUUAGCAGCAUCAACCCUGGACCCAAUAGUUUAAUAGACCCCCAAGAAGAUCAUCCACUUCACACAAUCAAACUAUGCCUUAUUAAGACAGAGACCAAAUUUUACAAUACUAUACACAGCAGUCAUCCAGUCUCAAUUUUUAUUAGAUUCAAUGAAAACUUCUUAGACAAUCAUGUCACAUAAACAUAAUCUACUAAAACACAGUAAAAUAUAUACUACAGCUCAGAAGCCAAAAUUAAAUUUUCCAGUAAUAAAUUAUUUAUCAUAUUUAUGAUGAAUAAACAAUAAUAUUAAAUAAUUAAUAUUAAAUAUUUGUUAAUAUUUAUUUACCAUUAAUAUUAUCAUGGAAACUCAGAUGAGCACUCAUUUUUUUCUUAUGUAAAGACAAUUUUAUCAAAGAGAGAACAACUUAAAAACUUAUUUUCCAUAAUCUAGAACUAGGAUGUUCAUUCAGACUUUACUAAUUAUUGACAACAACAACAACAACAACAAAUCUGUCUUGCCAGAAAGAUAGUAUCUUCUCUGCUGCUUUAGCCUUCAUUUGCUGUUCUGAAUUACACUUAUGACCAAUUUAUAUUGUAAUCUCCUUGGGCUAUGUUUCCUUGUGAUUGUUAGCCAUUAUUUAGUAUAUUACCAUACUACAUAUAACACUUAAUAGCUCAUGAUAUCAAAAUAUCUCAUAGUUAAAAUUGUGGACAUUUGAACUUCUGAUGGAAGUAGUUGUGUUUAUUUUUAAGGUUUCUUUAUUUUUAUAUUUUUAGAGACAGAAUCUGGCUCUGUCACUUAGGCUGGAGUGUAGUGGUGCAAUCACAGCUCACUGCAGCCUUGAUCUUCUGACUUAAGCCAUUCUCUUGCCUCAGCCUCCAAAGUAGCUGGGACUACAGGCUUGAGCCCCUAGACCUGACAAGCAGUUGUGUUUAAUUAGUGUGUGAUAAAGAUGAAGAAGCACAAUUGUAACGGAUUUCUAACAACCAUCAACUUAAUUUUAAAAUUUUCAUCGAGUUAAGUAUGUCAAAUUUGAUUCAACAAUUCACAUCUGAGUUUGUAACAGUAACACUCUGCUUUCCUUCUCCCUAUAAUAAGAAGACAGCAACUAUUGGUGCAACUUAUUGGUGUAGUGCAUGAAAAUACGUAAAACAAACCAACAAAAAACCAACUAGGUACUAGGUAACAUACUAGAACCAGUAAUAACAGCACCAUUUACCAAAAUUUAUCAAAAAUUAAAUCUAUUAAUUGAUGGGAUAGUGUGGACUUUCUUUUUUGGAAGCCAUGAGAUUAGUCUAAUUUUUUCAAACCAAAUUAAGAAAGCUUCAAAUACAUCUUGGGAUAUUUAUACUUACCAAAUCUCACACGGUAAAUGUGUGAUGUAUGAAACUUUCUCAAAAGGAUUCAAUUAUGAAAAUGCUCAGAGGCAAACUCUUCAAACCUCCAUAUGUAUAUAUAGCCAGAGUAGUUCACUUAAACAGAUUUUUCUUCUCAAAGCUGUAUUAAACACUCCUUAAUGUUUUUACCAAAGUAUAAAGAAACCAACAGCUUUUAAAAGGAAGAUUUAAAAAUUGCUAUAUUAUGAAUACAAUUGUAU